rnacentral:rRNA from 1 species
GGAAGAAAAGGUUCUGGUUAAUACCUGGGACUCAUGACGGUACCUGAAGAAUAAGCACCGGCUAACUACGUGCCAGCAGCCGCGGUAAUACGUAGGGUGCAAGCGUUAAUCGGAAUUACUGGGCGUAAAGCGUGCGCAGGCGGUUAUGCAAGACAGAGGUGAAAUCCCCGGGCUCAACCUGGGAACUGCCUUUGUGACUGCAUGGCUAGAGUACGGUAGAGGGGGAUGGAAUUCCGCGUGUAGCAGUGAAAUGCGUAGAUAUGCGGAGGAACACCGAUGGCGAAGGCAAUCCCCUGGACCUGUACUGACGCUCAUGCACGAAAGCGUGGGGAGCAAACAGGAUUAGAUACCCUGGUAGUCCACGCCCUAAACGAUGUCAACUGGUUGUUGGGAGGGUUUCUUCUCAGUAACGUAGCUAACGCGUGAAGUUGACCGCCUGGGGAGUACGGCCGCAAGGUUGAAACUC